GAACGCUAGCUACAGGCUUAACACAUGCAAGUCGAGGGGCAGCAUGGUCUUAGCUUGCUAAGGCCGAUGGCGACCGGCGCACGGGUGAGUAACGCGUAUCCAACCUGCCUUACACUCUUGGACAGCCUUCUGAAAGGGAGAUUAAUACAAGAUGUUAUCAUGAGUAAGCAUUUUCGCAUGAUUAAAGGUUUACCGGUGUAAGAUGGGGAUGCGUUCCAUUAGAUAGUAGGCGGGGUAACGGCCCACCUAGUCUUCGAUGGAUAGGGGUUCUGAGAGGAAGGUCCCCCACAUUGGAACUGAGACACGGUCCAAACUCCUACGGGAGGCAGCAGUGAGGAAUAUUGGUCAAUGGACGAGAGUCUGAACCAGCCAAGUAGCGUGAAGGAUGAAGGUUCUAUGGAUUGUAAACUUCUUUUAUACGGGAAUAAACGGAUCCACGUGUGGAUUUUUGCAUGUACCGUAUGAAUAAGGAUCGGCUAACUCCGUG
rnacentral:rRNA from 1 species